GAGAUCUUCAAUCUGGAAUUCUCUUUUCGAUAUUGAUUGCAAGGGGAUGUCCUGAGGCAGAAUUACUGAUUAUGGUGAGGGCAUCUCCAAGUUAUUAGUUGAAAAGCCAUGGAUUCAUCAUCAGAACCAGAUGGAACCUGGAAUUGUUUGAAGCACUGUUCCUGUGAAUUAAUAUUAUAUAAAAUGUAAGAUGGGAAAAGCUUUACUUAAUAUGAUACUGUGUGAAAAAUUGGUUGUUUUUCGAAAAUGUCUAUCUACAUAUCCAUUUUUCUUAAAAAAAAAAGCAAUCUCCCACUUGACUAGGAUUUGAAGGAGUAACGGCAUGGAGGAUUGACAAAGCUUAAAAAAAGCAAUCUCCCACUUGACUAGGAUUUGAAGGAGUAACGGCAUGGAGGAUUGACAAAGCUAAAGCACAAGGACUCAAUUAAGAAGCCUUUUCUGAUGAGGGACUACUUUUAAAGAAAUUCGAGAGUACAAGUACCCCCCCAGCUCACUACCCUGUUGUCUCCGUGGCACUGACAUGCAUUUGCAACGAGGAGACUAAACAACUAAGAAAUUAGAAGUCGUUGUCGCUUGCCACUGCUAAUGAUAUGAUACGAUACUAUUUCUUCUUUAAAUAAUGCAAGCACCUUGCCUUAACUUUUCCUUUUCCUUUUCUUUUUUUUUUUUAAAAAAAAAAAACAUCAGAAUUUGUGUGAUCAAAGCAUCAAUGGACUUCUUUCUUGCAAAUUGAACAAAACAAGACCAUUCAUUCUCUCUCGAGGCUGCGCGUGUCAAAAUGAUGAGCCACACGUACGCGGAACAACCUUAAACUUCACAUGUUCUGCUUUCAAGGAAUUCGAGACUCCUAGAGAACUGGUUUGUCUUCUAUUUUCUUGAUGAUGAUCCUCAUCAGAUCUUUCCUUAACUCAAAAUCAAGUGAUUGUGAAAUGAAUUGUGAUGAAGGGACCGCAUGGAAGGCAGUGGCACACAUAAUAACGGGAGUGAUAGGGUCGGGGGUGCUAUCACUGGCAUGGAGCAUGGCUCAGUUAGGGUGGAUUGCAGGUCCUGUAACCAUGUUGUGUUUUGCUUCAGUCACCCUCCUCUCUGCUUUCCUUCUCUGCGAUUGCUAUCGGUCUCCCGAUCCUGAAUUUGGCCCCAAAAGAAAUCGAUCUUACCUUGAAGCUGUUCAUGAGACUCUAGGUAGGUACAAGAAUAUCCUCCUAGUACUCAUGUCUUCUUCCUUCUUCUUAAUUUUAAUAAUAUUCUCUAAUCACAGUUAUAAUUAGCAGUAUAUAUUUAUUGGAACCGCAAGCCCCAGAAUAAGAAAAUACAACUCUAAAUGGAUUGAAUAAUCCAUUCGUUCAAUACAAUUUUUCUAUACAAAUAUCUAACCCUUUUUCUUCUUUUUUGUUUUUCACAUUCUCAACCUAUUUCGCCCUCUUAUCAGGUGAGUUUAUCUCUUCUCUCUCAAAUAUAAUUGAGACUGAAAAAUAAAUGAAUUAAACAUUUAGACCAAAUUGGUCAUCCAUUUUUUCCAUGUUUUAUAUUGUGGUUCGCUUUCUUUUAUUUUUUUUUCUUUCCACUACAAUUUAAAACUUUAUCUCAUGAAAAUUCAAUAAAAAAAAUGAGGUUAAAAUUAUAUAUAUAUAUAUAUAUAUAUAUAUAAAAAGAGAUACCAAAGGAUUCAAUUAAAAAAAAGUAUGAGGAAUAAGUUAAAAAAUUUUAAAAAAAUGAAAAGAGGGGAAAAAAAGAGAUUUGAGAGUAGCUUUACUUUUUAAUUUUUAUAUAAAAAGUUAAGCACCUUUCAAAUAUUUUAGUGUAUAGUACUAGCUUUAAAAUUCACGCUAUAUCACGAUAGGAUUUUAAAUUAAUUUUUAACAUAAAUAAAAAAUGUAUCAAUGCUACGGAAUCGUUUAUUAUAUCAUGUUUUUUUAGUUGAAAACAUGAAAAUGCUAUUUAUGUUAAAUAAAAUAAAUUUAAAAAAUAAAUAAAUCGAUAAAAUAUAAAAUAGUUAUUAAUGCUACUUAAGUGCUAGAUUGUUAAGCCAAUAUUUAUUAUAAAAGUAAAGCACAAUGAAUAUACAAAUAUUUAACACCCUCUUUUAUUUUGAGUUUAUGUGUUUUUACUCUCUCUUUUUUAUAUAUAUCUUAGAGGUUAUUUUUUCUCAUCAAGAAUAUAUUAUUUAAAAAAAAUACAUCAUACAAAUAUCAUAUAUUUAUAUCAAAUACAAAAGAAAAAAUAAAGAUAUAAAUUACAAUAAUAUCUUUGAAACGUUGUAAAAAUAGAAAAUAAAAAAAAUUAACUACUAUUUAAAAAAAUUAAAUUUUUAAGAAAAAUCAAAGAGAGAAAGAGGAUACUAAUUUAAAUUAAUUUAAAUAAAAAUUUAAUGUAAAUUAAAAAAAUACAACCACAUAAGAAAGGGUAAAGGUCGUAAAAUAAAAUAAUGAGAUAAGAGGCACUUUUAGGCCUAGUAGGUCUCCCGGAGUUAAUGUGCACUUGGAUCUAUAAAUCUAGACCCUCACAUUUUGGCUUAUAUAUAUAUUAUUAACGUGGAUGUCCCGGUAAGCUUGUACGCACUUCGACUAAUCUCACGGGUCCUGAAGUUAACGACCAUGUAAGCUUCUAGUGGCCCUGAGAGAACUCGAACUCGUGACAAUUGAGAAGCAAACUUUAGACCUGACCAGUUGAGCUAUCCCUCUAUAUAUUUAUUUCAAAAAGAAGAAGGCGAAAUAUUUUUCAUUACUUUUUAUUUACAGAAAAAUUUAAAGUAAAUGGUGCAUCGCUUGUUGUGCAAUUUAAUUUACGACAUCUCAUAUGGCUAGAACCCAUCGAAAAGUUGGGUUUCUAACUUUUUUUUAAGAAAAACCCAAUUUUAACUCAUUUUUCACCUGAGAAGCAUCUAAAAAUACAUCCUAGUCACUUUAAUAAAAAUUCAUUUAUGGCUUUUAAAUAGCAAAAAAUUAGUUAAAAUCACAAAAAAAAAACUUGAAAUCGCAAAAUUUUUCAAGCCUCGAUUUACUUUUUUCGACAAGAUAAAGUAAAAAACAUCCAUCAUCAAACUCAUCUCAUCAAAUGAAAUCAUUUAACAUCAAGCUUGGUUAUUUUGGCUACCAGAAUCAUGACUAUCAAUAUUUUUCUCUCUAUGAAAUUUUUUAAUGAGUUUCUCUCUUUUCUCUCAAAUUUAAAUCUAGUGAUCGAAAAAUGAACAAAAUAAAAAAUUAUCAUGAAUAUUUUAGUAUUAUCCAUGUAGUUUCUCUAUAUUUUAUAUUUUAAUUAUUUAUCUUUUAAUUUGGUCUUUUUACCACCAUUUCAAACUUGAUAUUAUCUCAUUACACCAUAAAAAAUUUCAAUUGAAAUAAAAAAACAACGAAAAUGAAAUAAAAUAAAAGAGUUGGGGAGGUGCUUUGGCACCAUAAAAACCCUAGUUCUUUUAGUUGUUUAUAUAAUAUAAUUUGCAUUGUAUUUAAAAGUGUUUUUUUCAAGACAUUUUUAAAUUGAAAAGGGCAUCAAUUUUAUGGUUUUCAACUUCAAUACAAUUUGAGGAAAACGCAUUUUAUUGCAUUAGCAAACACAUGCUUCAUUUCUUUUUAAUUGGAUUUGAUUUAGACAUAUCUGUUAAUAAUUCAAAAUCAUGUUGAAGCUAUAGAUUCAGAGAAAGAUCAUAUCCCAAUUAAUUAUGUCAUUGACAUAUUAACUAGCUUUGACAUGUUCCAGGAAAAAGGAAUGCAUUGGUAUGUGGCGUCUUCGCACAAAUAGGCUUUUACGGGACAGGAAUUGCCUACACUAUUACUACUGCAACCAGCAUGAGGUAUUUAUGUUGUAUUUAAAAUCCCAGAUUCAUUAUCUAUUUGCGUUUUCAUGUAAUUUGACAUGGUUUUUAUAUAUAUUAUCUCUAAAACCAUUUAUGAUGAAUGUGAAAUUGACUGAUCAUUCUUGGAUUCAUGGUUUUUGUCUUAGUUUUCAUCUGAAAGUCUACAAUUCAACAAGGAUUUUAUAUAUCCAUACUUAUAUUUUGGUUAAUAUUUUUUGUGUAUAUAUUUUUAUUAUCCUGCAAAUAUAUAUAAUUGGUUUUACUAAACAGUUUCUCCAACAAUCUUUAAAUGUCAACGAUCCUCCAAUAACGAGCAUUGCCCUUGUGGUUCUUUACAAAGCAAUUUACUUUUUCUUCUUUGUUUUCUGAUGAAGGGCAAUUCAGAAAUCAAACUGUUAUCACAAAGAAGGGCACGAGGCUACUUGUGAAUAUGGAGGUUCUUUAUAUAUGCUACUAUUUGGAGUGGUUCAAGUUGUACUGUCCCAAGUACCAGAUUUCCAUAACCUACAAUGGCUAUCAAUUGUUGCUGCUAUCAUGUCAGUCAGCUAUGCCUCUAUAGGAUUUGCACUUGGGUUUGCACAAGUGAUAGGUGCGGUACAGCAUCAGCUAUUAUUGGCCCUCCAAAUCUUGUGUCGGGGUCAUUGUUCCUGUAAACUUUUAGCUCCAUCUAUUCUGAAUAGUUUCUGUUGUCUCUAAAAUUUCAGCAAAUGGAUUUGUUAAGGGUGGGAUCGCAGGAGUCUCAGCUUAUAGGGCAGCAGAUAAAGUUUGGAAUGUAUCUCAAGCACUUGGAGAUAUUGCAUUUGCAUAUCCAUAUCCCCUAAUUCUACUAGAAAUACAGGUAUGAAUUGUGAUUCUGGAUGGGCAAGUUUUUAAGCUGAAAUGAUCAAACACCAGUGUAGUUCUUUUAAGAGACUAAUUGUAUGUGUUGAAACUUGGAAUUCAUGUAGGAUACUUUAAAAUCACCUCCAUCAGAAAGCAAGAGCAUGAAGAAGGCAUCGAUAAUAGCAGUUGUUGUCACCACAUUUUUCUACCUCUGCUGCGGAGGCUUUGGUUAUGCAGCUUUCGGAGAAAAAACACCAGGGAACCUCUUGACAGGAUUUGGAUUUUAUGAACCGUACUGGCUUAUUGACUUCGCCAAUGCUUGUAUUGUGCUUCAUCUAGCUGGUGGCUAUCAGGUAUGUGUGUGUACACAAUGUUCAUGAUAACUAGAUGAGCUGAUGCACCUUCGUAGCGUCGUAGAAGUAACAAUCCCUGAAAUAUUCGCAAUGUUUGAUUGUGCUUAAAGGUUUACAGUCAGCCAUUAUUUGCAGUCAUUGAAAACUGGAUUGCAGAGAAAUAUCCAGAAAAUAGGUUUUUGAAUAAGAAUCUCACCUGCAAAUUCCCACGGUUGCCAGGUUUCCAAUUGAAUCUCCUCAGAUUGUGUUUCCGAACGAUCUACGUCGUAUCAACAACCGUGAUUGCAGUGAUGUUUCCUUACUUCAACCAGGUUAUUGGAUUGUUAGGAGGAUUCGGCUUUUGGCCCUUAGCUGUAUAUUUUCCUGUGGAAAUGUAUUUUAAGCAGAAGAAUAUUGAGGCAUGGACAAUUAAGUGGAUCAUGCUUCGAGCCUUCAGCGUCAUCUGCUUUUUGGUGACAGCGUUUGCUUUGAUUGGAUCAGUUGAAGGGCUGAUGAGUGCAAGAUUGAGCCAAGGGAGUAAAAGGGAUGUCCUGAGGCAGAAUUACUGAUUAUGGUGAAGACAUCUGAUCCAAGUUUUAGUUAAGAAGCUAUGGAUUCAUCAUCAGAACUACAUGGAACCUGGAAUUGUUUAAAGCACGGUUCCUGUGAAUUAAUAUUAUAUAAAAUGUAAGAUGGGAAAAGCUUUAC
rnacentral:lncRNA from 1 species